ensembl:lncRNA
GGGGAGGGCGUAAAGGCUGCGUGGGGGGCAAGGAACGGAGACAGAAGCCCCACCCAGUGAAUCCCCGCUUUGCCCCGAGGGUUUCUCUCGCCAGGACCGCGGAGCCCCCUGCCAUCUCUUUGACUGCAGGGGACGGGGUGGGGGGUGCAGCUCAUCCGAAGAGGGAAACCGCACCCACACCCGCGGGUUUCUCCGCCUGCCGUGUCCUCGCCAGGCUGGUCCCUCUGAACCAGGAGUCCCCGACUCCCGAGUCAGGGCCUGGAGCUGUCCCUUUGCAAAGUCAGAGGAGAUAAGGCCUUGGCUCCCAGUGCCCGGGGAGAAGAUGGGCCCGAACUGUCAUCUGACUCCUCGUUGUGAAACCUGCAGAUGUAAUUCAUGUACCCACUGAGCAGCCUAAGAACGAGGCUACUUCCUGUCUGCAUCCCUUCAGCAGACUGCCUGCCAUACCCAUCACAUUCUGGUUUAACGCUUGCUCAAUAGUCAAACCGUUUUCUUUCUCUUCUAUCAUCAUGGAGAGGUUUUCGGCCUUAGGAGCAGAUUUUGUUUUCAAUCUCUUCCCCACACUUUGCACAGCACCGGGAAUGAAUCUCAUGUCAGGGACAGGCAGAGACACGAAUCCUCCUAUUGACCCGAAGAAGGCAGUCCAGGCCCAGCGGUCUGCGGCUUCUCUCCCAAAGUUUUCAGCUGCUGAUUUUUUUUUAAGAUUGAUUUAUUUAUUUUUGGCUGUGCUGGGUCUUCAUUGCUGUGUGGGGGCUUUUCUCUGUGGUGAGCGGGAGCUGCUCUCUGGUUGCCGUGCGUGGGUCUCUCAUUGUGGUGGCUGCUCUUGUGGUGGAGCCCCGGUUCUGGGGCUUCAGCAGUUGCGGCACAUGGGCUCAGCAGUUGCAGUUUUUGGUCUCUAGCUCACAGGCUCAGUAGUUGUGGUGCAUGGGCUUAGUUCCACAUGCUCCUUGGCAUGUGGAAUCUUCCCAGAUCAGGGACAAAAUGCAGUCUCCUGCAUUGGCAGGUGGAUUCCUACCCACUGGCAGUGGUGGUUUAGUCCCUAAGUCGUGUCUGAUUCUUGUGACCCCAUGAACUGUAGCUCGCCAGGCUCCUCUGUCCAUAGGAUUUUCCAAUCAAGAAUGCUGGAGUGGGUUGCCAUUUCCUUCUCCAGGGUAUCUUCCCAACCCGGGGAUCAAACCUGAGUCUAAUACACUGCAGGCAGAUUCUUUACCGACUGAGCUACCAGGGAAGCCCAGGGGCCACCAGGGAAGCCCCCAGCUGCUGAAUUUCUUACUUGUGGGUUUUGAAUUGUAGGCAGAACAUGCUCUGUGAGCAUCAAAAUAUUGAGCCUAAGUCUACAGGAACGGAAUUUUGUAAAUGUCCCAAGAUGGUUGCUGAUGGCCCAUGUGUUUUGAGUCCAUCUCCCACCUGAGAGGCCAGGUGGCCGGUGAAAGUCCUAGGAAUUGUGUCACUCCACGUGGCACCAGAUCCCUUGCUACCUCGUCCCUGUGCAGCCUGCCCUUGGCUGUGGCUGUCCUCUGAGCAAAACAGUGAAAUCAAAGAGGCCCUUCCGCUGCACAGGACAUAAUUACCUGACCCAAGAUACUCCCCUCCUUUACUACCAGCAUUCUUUCUCUGAGUCAGCCCAGGACUCUCAGGAGUUGCAGCUGAAUGAGCUUUAUUCAGCGUCUUUAGAGGCAGAAGCACCUGGGAAGGCGCUGCGGGGUGCGUCACACCUUAACCGGGUUGCUUUUUGCAAAUGUCCACGGAGACUUCACACUUAAUGAAGCUUUGCCAGGAGGAGGGGAUCUUCCUGACCCAGGGAUCGAACCCAGGUUUCCUGCAUUGCAGUCAGACUCUAUACCGUGUGAGCCACCAGGGAAAAGAAAGGAAUCUACAAAGCAUCUGUGUGCUGAGGCCCCUGGGUCAGAGGAGUGUUUAGACUUGAUCUUGUCAUCAAAAUGUGGCCCAAAAUGGACACAGAGCCUUCCCAGUUGGGUGGUGACUGCACUCAUGUUCGCUUGGUCUGAGAAUGUUCUCAAAUGAUAUCCAUGUGACCAUUCAGCCUGGUGAAGGCUCUGAAUUCCACUUUAUGGACCUUUUUUGAGUUCAGAAUAAUGUUUUCAGAAAGCCUUCAGAAGAGAGCAUGGAGCA